GUUUAAGUAAUCAAGCGCGCAUGGUGGAUGCCUGGGCGGCAGAAGGCGAUGAAGGACGUUGUAGCAUGCGAUAAGCCUCGGGGAGCCUGCAAACUGGCUUUGAUCCGGGGAUUUCCGAAUGGGGAAACCCGGCCGUUUACGGUCAUUGCGCACUGAAUACAUAGGUGCGUUAAAGCAAACCCGGGGAACUGAAACAUCUAAGUACCCGGAGGAACAGAAAUCAACCGAGAUUCCCCCAGUAGCGGCGAGCGAACGGGGAACAGCCCAGUUCACCGCAAUCACAUCAAAACCUAGCAAAACAGACUGGAAAGUCUGGCCAAAGAAGGUGAUAGCCCUGUAUGCGAAAGGAUGCGAUGUGUGGGUGACGAAGAGUAGGGCGGGGCACGUGCAACCUUGUCUGAACAUGGGGGGCCCAUCCUCCAAGGCUAAAUACUCUCUGCCGACCGAUAGCGAACUAGUACCGUGAGGGAAAGGUGAAAAGAACCCCGGUGAGGGGAGUGAAAUAGAACCUGAAACCGUGUGCGUACAAGCAGUGGGAGCCUGGUCUUCGGACCGGGUGACCGCGUACCUUUUGUAUAAUGGGUCAGCGAGUUACGUCUCAGUGGCAAGCUUAACCGUGUAGGGUAGGCGUAGGGAAACCGAGUCUUAAAUGGGCGAUCGAGUCGCUGGGAGUAGACCCGAAACCAGGCGAGCUAUCCAUGGCCAGGGUGAAGGCAGGGUAAUACCUGCUGGAGGCCCGAACCGGGUAAUGUUGAAAAAUUAUCGGAUGAGCUGUGGAUAGGAGUGAAAGGCUAAUCAAGCCUGGAGAUAGCUGGUUCUCCCCGAAAGCUAUUUAGGUAGCGCCUCGUGUAUCACUACCGGGGGUAGAGCACUGUUUCGGCUAGGGGGUCAUACCGAUUUACCAAACCGAUGCAAACUCCGAAUACCGGUAAGUGCAGCACGGGAGACACACGGCGGGUGCUAAGGUUCGUCGUGGAAAGGGAAACAGCCCAGACCGCCAGCUAAGGUCCCCAAAUUACGGCUAAGUGGUAAACGAAGUGGGAAGGCCCAGACAGCCAGGAGGUUGGCUUAGAAGCAGCCAUCCUUUAAAGAAAGCGUAACAGCUCACUGGUCUAGUCGGCCUGCGCGGAAGAUUUAACGGGGCUUAAGCCGUAUACCGAAGCUGCGGCUCGAUAUGUUCUUCGGAUCGUAUCGGGGGUAGGGGAGCGUUCUGUAAGCCAGUGAAGGUGCGUCGCGAGGCGUGCUGGAGGUAUCAGAAGUGCGAAUGCUGACAUGAGUAACGAUUAUGCGGGUGAAAAACCCGCACGCCAGAAGCCCAAGGUUUCCUGCGCAACGCUAAUCGGCGCAGGGUGAGUCGGCCCCUAAGGCGAGACCGAAAGGUGUAGUCGAUGGGAAACAGGUCAACAUUCCUGUACCGGCCGUAACUGCGAUGGGGUGACGGAGAAGGUUAGGCCUACCGGGCGUUGGUUGUCCCGGGGAAAGUAGGUAGGCGGGCGCUUUUGGAAAAUCCGGAGCGCCGCUAACGCCGAGAUACGAGACCACCGGCAUUGCCGGGAAGUGGCUUACACCAUGCUUCCAGGAAAAACCUCUAAGCAUCAGGUUACGGGCGACCGUACCGUAAACCGACACAGGUGGGCAGGGAGAGAAUCCUAAGGCGUUUGAGAGAACUCGGGUGAAGGAACUAGGCAAAUUGGUACCGUAACUUCGGGAGAAGGUACGCCUUUGACGGUGACGGGACUUGCUCCCUGAGCUGUCGGAGGCCGCAGUGACCAGGUGGCUGCGACUGUUUACUAAAAACAUAGCACUCUGCUAACUCGCAAGAGGAUGUAUAGGGUGUGACGCCUGCCCGGUGCCGGAAGGUUAAGUGAUCCUGUUAGCCCUUUUGGGCAAAGCUCGUGACCGAAGCCCCGGUAAACGGCGGCCGUAACUAUAGAGAAUGACCGAUUGUAGUUACGUAAAUAAACCUGGCUAUAUGCUGGAAACUCCGGUGUAUCCUCCGGUACUCGCCUCAGGACGAGGCAGUGACAAUCCGAGAGGUGCGGACAAUCAGCAGGAAAGAUUCCUCAAUUGGAGACGUUCGAUGGCAAUUAAAGUGAAGCGGGUGCCGGAGCGGAUUGGCCAUUACCUGGCCGGUUUUGCGGACGGCGAAGGCAGCUUCAACAUUUCAUUCAGGAAGCGCAAAGACUACGCAAUGCCCUGGAAGGUUUCGCUGUGUUUCAACGUGUCUCAAAAGGACAAGGUAAUACUUGCCUUGUUCAAGAGACACCUGGGAUGCGGGACCUUGCGGGGCAGGGAAGAUGGAGUCUGGUAUUUUGAGGUGAACAACUUCAACGCCAUUGAAGAGAACGUGAUUCCCUUUUUUGAUCGAUUUGGGUUUCUGUCUGCAAAGAAGAAGAGAGAUUUCUCGAAAUUCCGGCAGAUGGCAAGAAUCAUCCGGGAAGGCGAUCAUCUGAGCAAAAAUGGUAUUCAAUCCCUGCUUGAUAUCCGCAAGGAUAUGAACGAUGGGGGCGUCGGAAGACGAAAGUACUCCGACGAGGAAAUACUGGAAUGCUUCAAUUGAAGAAAAUCCUCAGAGACUAUACGCCAGGCAGCACUUGUUGCUGAAGAUAUAGUCCGAUCUGCAUAGCGAUAUGCAGGGGCCUGUCAAAGGCCCGCAAUGUUGAUGUCAAUCAAGCAUUGUUAACAUCAUGAACGGUCCUAAGGUAGGAAACGCUGCCUUAGUAAAAUCCGGCCAAAUGCUGGAAACUCCGUGAAUCCUCCAGUACUCGUAUCGGAUCGAUACAGUGACAAUCUUGGAGGUGCGGACAAUCAGCAGGAAAGACUGACAAACAGUGGUCAGAAUCCUCAGAGACUACACGCCGGACAUCUGCAUUCUGCGGAUGAAGAUAUAGUCCCAUCUGCAAGGCGACUUGCAGGGAUGGUCAGUAAACUAUCCGCCUGUAAUUCCUUUAAGGUGAAUUUAGGUAAGAAAUCGAGCGAAAUUCCUUGUCGGGUAAGUUCCGACCUGCACGAAUGGCGUAACGAUGGCCACACUGUCUCCACCCGGGACUCAGUGAAAUUGAAAUUGCUGUGAAGAUGCAGUGUACCCGCGGCUAGACGGAAAGACCCCGUGAACCUUUACUACAGCUUUGUACUGGAUCUUGAGCCAGCUUGUGCAGGAUAGGUGGGAGGCUUUGAAACGAGGACGCCAGUUCUCGUGGAGCCAACCUUGAAAUACCACCCUGGCUUGUUUGAGGUUCUAACCCAGGCCCGUUAUCCGGGUCGGGGACAGUGCAUGGUGGGUAGUUUGACUGGGGCGGUCUCCUCCCAAAGAGUAACGGAGGAGCACAAAGGUACCCUCAGCGCGGUCGGACAUCGCGCAUUGCGUGUAAAGGCAUAAGGGUGCUUGACUGCGAGACGUACAAGUCGAGCAGGGUCGAAAGACGGUCUUAGUGAUCCGGUGGUUCUGUAUGGAAUGGCCAUCGCUAAACGGAUAAAAGGUACUCCGGGGAUAACAGGCUGAUUCCUCCCAAGAGUCCACAUCGACGGAGGAGUUUGGCACCUCGAUGUCGGCUCAUCACAUCCUGGGGCUGUAGCAGGUCCCAAGGGUAUGGCUGUUCGCCAUUUAAAGUGGUACGCGAGCUGGGUUUAGAACGUCGUGAGACAGUUCGGUCCCUAUCUGCCGUGGGCGUUGGAAACUUGAGGGGAGCUUCUCCUAGUACGAGAGGACCGGAGUGGACGUACCUCUGGUGUUCCGGUUGUCACGCCAGUGGCAUUGCCGGGUAGCUA
rnacentral:rRNA from 1 species